UACAGAGGGUGCGAGCGUUAAUCGGAAUUACUGGGCGUAAAGCGUGCGUAGACGGUAGGGUAAGUCAGAUGUGAAAGCCCCGGGCUCAACCUGGGAAUUGCAUUUGAGACUGCUCUGCUCGGGUGCGGAAGAGGGAAGCGGAAUUUCCGGUGUAGCGGUGAAAUGCGUAGAUAUCGGAAGGAACACCAGUGGCGAAAGCGGCUUCCUGGUCCGACACCGACGUUCAGGCACGAAAGCGUGGGGAGCAAACAGG
rnacentral:rRNA from 1 species